rnacentral:rRNA from 1 species
GAUGAACGCUGGCGGCGUGCCUAAUACAUGCAAGUCGAACGAAACUUCUUUAUCACCGAGUGCUUGCACUCACCGAUAAAGAGUUGAGUGGCGAACGGGUGAGUAACACGUGGGCAACCUGCCCAAAAGAGGGGGAUAACACUUGGAAACAGGUGCUAAUACCGCAUAACCAUAGUUACCGCAUGGUAACUAUGUAAAAGGUGGCUAUACUACCGCUUUUGGAUGGGCCCGCGGCGCAUUAGCCAGUUGGUAGGGUAAAGGCUUACCAAGGCAAUGAUGCGUAGCCGAAUUGAGAGGUUGAUCGGCCACAUUGGGACUGAGACACGGCCCAAACUCCUACGGGAGGCAGCAGUAGGGAAUCUUCCACAAUGGGCGAAAGCCUGAUGGAGCAACGCCGCGUGGGUGAAGAAGGUCUUCGGAUCGUAAAACUCUGUUAUUAGAGAAGAACGUGCGUGAGAGUAACUGUUCACGUUUCGACGGUAUCUAACCAGAAAGCCACUGCUAACUACGUG